rnacentral:rRNA from 1 species
CCACUCAUUAAAAGAGUGCGUAAUAGCUCACUGGUCGAGUGACUCUGCGCCGAAAAUUUAACGGGGCUAAACUAUACACCGAAGCUUGGGAUACAUCUAAUGUAUGGUAGGAGAGCGUUCUGUAUGGGGUGAAGUCGUAGCGAAAGCGGCGGUGGACUGUACAGAAGUGAGAAUGCCGGAAUAAGUAGCGAGAAUUAAGUGAGAAUCUUAAUGGCCGAAAGUCUAAGGUUUUUGGAGGAAGGUUCGUCCGCUCCAAGUAAGUCGGGAGCUAAGGUCAGGCCGAAAGGCGUAGCCGAUGCACAUACGGUUGAUAUUCCGUAACCAUCUGUAAUUUAAGCAAAGGGACACUUCAAAAGGGUGUGACCCGGGCGUUGGUUGACCCGGGCGUAAGGGACCGAAAUUAGAGUAGGGAAGCACACUUGGCUGAAGGCGAGAAAAGCUUUGCGUAUAGAAGCAGAUGCCCGUACCGCAAACCGACACAGGUGGACAGGAAGAGAAUUCUAAGGCCAGCGGGAGAAGGGUAGUUAAGGAACUCGGCAAAUUGACUCCGUAACUUCGGAAUAAGGAGUGCUCGAAAGAGCCGCAGAGAAUAGGCCCAGGCGACUGUUUAGCAAAAACACAGGUCUCUGCCAAAUCGAAAGAUGAAGUAUAGGGGCUGACACCUGCCCGGUGCCGGAAGGUUAAGAGGAGGAGUGAGAGCUCCGAAUUGAAGCCCCGGUAAACGGCGGCCGUAACUAUAACGGUCCUAAGGUAGCGAAAUUCCUUGUCGGGUAAGUUCCGACCCGCACGAAUGGUGUAACGAUCUGGGCACUGUCUCAACUACCCACCCGGCGAAAUUGUAGUACCGGUGAAGAUGCCGGUUACCUGCGGCAAGACGGAAAGACCCCAUGGAGCUUUACUGUAGCCUGAUAUUGGGUUUCGGAAAUCUAUGUACAGGAUAGGCGGGAGACUGGGAAACAUGAGCGUCAGCUUGUGUGGAGUCGAUGUUGGGAUACCGCCCUUAGGUUUCUGGAAUUCUAACCUGCGGCCGUGAAUCCGGUCGGGGGACAUUGUCAGGUGGGCAGUUUGACUGGGGCGGUCGCCUCCGAAAAGGUAACGGAGGCGCUCAAAGGUUAGCUCAGCACGGACGGAAACCGUGCCUCUGAGUGUAAACGCAAAAGCUAGCCUAACUGCGAGGGUGACGGCCCGAGCAGUAACGAAAGUUGGAGUUAGUGAUCCGGCGGUAUGUGAAUGGAAAUGCCGUCGCUCAACGGAUAAAAGCUACCCUGGGGAUAACAGGCUGAUCUCCCCCAAGAGUCCACAUCGACGGGGAGGUUUGGCACCUCGAUGUCGGCUCAUCACAUCCUGGGGCUGUAUUCGGUCCCAAGGGUUCGGCUGUUCGCCGAUUAAAGUGGUACGCGAGCUGGGUUCAGAACGUCGCGAGACAGUUCGGUCCCUAUCUGUCGUGGGCGCAGGAUAUUUGAGGAGCUCUGUCCUUAGUACGAGAGGACCGGGAUGGACGUACCUCUGGUGCACCAGUUGUCAUGCCAAUGGCACGGCUGGGCAGCUAUGUACGGAACGGAUAAACGCUGAAAGCAUCUAAGCGUGAAGCCGACUCCAAGAUUAGAUAUCCCAUCGUAUAACGAGUAAGACCCCUUGAAGACUACGAGGUUGAUAGGCUGCGUGUGUAAGUGCCGUGAGGCAUUCAGCUUGGCAGUACUAAUAGGUCGAGGGCUUGACCA